AUUUUAAUAAUUUAAAAAAAAAUACUGGUCUUGUAAACCAGAACUAAGAUUAUUCUUUUAAAAUA
rnacentral:tRNA from 1 species